AGCGCAGACGGAACUGCAAGUCUGAUGUGAAAGCCCGGGCUCAACCGCGGGACUGCAUCGGAUACUGUAGAUCUGGAGUGCCGGAGGGGCAAGCGGAAUUCCUGGUGUAGCGGUGAAAUGCGUAGAUAUCAGGAGGAACACCGGCGGCGAAGGCGGCUUGCUGGACGGCAACUGACGUUGAGGCUCGAAAGCGUGGGGAGCAAACA
rnacentral:rRNA from 1 species